rnacentral:lncRNA from 1 species
GCAAGACAUGAAGCAAGUGAACAAGUGGAAGAGUUUUGAACAAAAAGAGAGAUAACAUAACAUCACUGACUUUGGGUUACAGAGAAGAAAAUAAUUUUAAGUUUAUUAAAAAUAAAUAAAUAAAAGAGAUGGGAUAGAUGGUUGACUCAGAAAAUACUGGAUGUAUGUACAUGAGCAUGAGAUACAUGAUUUUGCAUAAUAUAUAAUAAUAGUAAUAAUAAUCACCUAAAUCCAAGCAACCACUACCUAACAACAUGCCCAUCCAUCAAUCCAUGGUCAUCAUCCACACCACACACAGUGCAAUAAUAUCUUUUUAUUUAUUAAUUUAUUUAUUUAUGAUAUGGAUUUUUGUGCUGCUUCUUUCAUGUGCCUAUCUCAUUAUUUAAUCAUAGACAUCUCACCAAACUUUGUCAACUUUUCCUACCCGCUACAUUUUUGCUAUUUUGCGCACGGUGCUAUGUCCUCCACCCGUCCUUUUCAGGGUUUGGUACCCUAAGGCCCAUCCAUGGCCCACCCAUGGCCCAAACCAAUUAAAACACCUGCUCCACCCCAAGACCUAACCAACCACCAAUCAAUAACCCUUACUCCUUUGCAAUAAAGGCAUUUUCACUUUUAACAACACAACACAACCUUUUAUUUUUCCAACCAUCACCUUAUUAUUAUUAUUAUUAUUAUUACUAUUAUAUCUGAGUCUCUACCAGCCAACCAUUAAACACACAGAAAUUAAUAAGCAUCGAUCUCUUUUUCAACCCUCACAUACCAAACUAUUACAAAGAACACAAAAACAUGCAUCUCAUCUCAUACUUCUAACACUGUUUGAAACUGCAGCUUUCUCUUGCAUUUAUUAUUUGUGACUGAAGAAGCAGGAGAAGGGUUGGGAUGUUCCUUUCUGUUCCUGAUCAGAGGCCAGCUUUCUUCAUUGCAUCAGAUAUCUUGGACACCCUUCAUUUCUUUCUUCGGUAAAACAAGAUAAAACCAAUGCACUGGUAGUAUUAUUAUUAUUUAUUGAAGAAAAAAGAAAAUGGUAGCAACCACCAAGUGCCAGAAGCUGAAGCAGAGAUCCAAUUCUAUCUAGAGUUGUAGGGUAUAGGCCAUUAGGUCUCUUACCCUCCUGCUCCUAGUAAUGCCUCUGUCCCAUGCAUGUCUUCAAAAUUAAAACAAGAUAGCAAUUGCCUCUUCUCUUCAUGCACCGCCAAAAUCCAACUCCUCUCACUUUUCUUCUGCUUAUCUUAUCCGAAUCAACUCACAAAAUCAAGAUUAUACCCAUCAUUUAUGCCUAUCUUACACUGCAACUUUGUCUUCUAUUACUAUCAUUCUGUGAUGAUCGAUCAAGUUAUUAGUCCUCACGGACCCAACUCACUCGAAUACAGUCAGAUCUUGAAAAAGGAAUUAUCAAGAAGACCGGGGAUUGUCGUUUACUAAUUAUUAUUGUUGUUUCUGACUGGUGACUGUGAAAGAACGAAACUUUGAUGCAAUUCAUAAUAAUUAAGAUUGGAUUUGGAUUCUUAGUAUCUGUUUACCUAAAAGUAUAAGGAAAUAUUAACUUUCAAACCACCACCUCGGAUGAUUUCGUCGUAUAAAAUGAAUGAAACAUAAGCUGAGCUAAUAUGAUUGGUGAUGCACUUUAUAUAAUUAAUCCU